UUCUAUCUCAUAGCAAAGAGUCCACCCGUUAGUCAAAAAUAGUACUUGUUAUUACAGCCCACAUUUACACACAUCAGAAUUUGAACUUGGAGUCUACUUUGCUACUAUAUAUAUAUUAUAAACUCUUUUAAGUACGAGAAUGUAGUCUUGAUAAAAUUUUAAAAUAUCAAUUUCACUUGUCGUCUUAAAUAAAUAAUAUAUACAUCUGUCAAGUAUUUGAAAAAAAAAAAAAUUGGUAUUGAAUUUGGCAGUAUGUAUCAGCUUUUGUGAAGCAGAAGCAAAAUGAAAACGGCUGAUAUAUCGAAAGCUUUAAGUAAUCUUCUUUUCUUUGUUUA
rnacentral:lncRNA from 1 species